GUCUAUGGCCAUGCCAUCCUGAAUGUGCCCGAUCUCGGAAGCUAAGCAGCGGCGGGCCUGGUUAGUACUCAGAUGGGAGAAUAGAUCUGAAAGUGCCUUUUAGCUCGCAUGCAGGAUGGCAAUGGUG
rnacentral:rRNA from 1 species